GGCGCGCGGCCCGCUGCUGGGGUGCGGGAAUUUGCGCGAGACGGCUGCGUUUCUAUGGCGACCCGGGCCUGGGGAGGGUGGAGCGGCGGCUGCAGCUGGAUGUGCUGCAUCUCAGAGACGUCCGUGUACUUGGUGAAGACCAAAGGCACCGCAAUGUCAGCCUUGUCCAGCUGGUUCCAGAAGCGGGCCAUGCAGCACGCCCUGCUUAUACAAGGCCAAGCCAUGCUGGGCUGCAGAGAGCUCCACUAACACACAAAACCUGCACAGGGUCCAAGCCCCGCCCUCCUGCUCAGCAUCCCGGAGACACCGAAGUGGAGCCACCGAGUAGGAAAACAACAAGUCAGAGGGAAUAUGGACGCACUUCCAGUUUAACUACCAGCUUAAAAGGCUUACUUCCACUAUCGCCAAACUGUGACAUUUAGUAAUACACACCCGAAGUAAACAAAGCAGAAGAAUGAGGUUUAUAUUAGAGUUGGACAUUUCUUUUCACGGCCAGUAUCUGUAAAACGAAUCAUCAGAUUAGGGAUGCUGCUUUUAUUUUGUAAUGUCAACAUUGUUUCCGUUAAAGGUUUAUUAAAGACAGAUAACUUGA